GGGUUGCUAACUCAAUGGUAGAGUACUCGGCUCUUAACUUUCACCCGACGAGCUCCGGGUUCGAGCCCCGGGCAACCCA
rnacentral:tRNA from 1 species